UGAUUUACAUUUGAGUGAGUGGCGAACUGGUGAGUAACAACGUGGGAAACCGUAGCCCACGAAGCGGGGGAGUAACACCUGGAAACAGAUGCUAUACCGCAUAACAACUUAGACCGCAUGGUCCGAGUUGUAAAAGAUGGCUUCGGCUAUCACUUUUGGAUGGUCCCGCGGCGUAUUAGCUAGAUGGUGAGGUAACGGCUCACCAUGGCAAUGAUACGUAGCCCGACCCUGAGAGGGUAAUCGGCCACAUUGGGACUGAGACACGGCCCAAACUCC
rnacentral:rRNA from 1 species